GUCUGAGGCGGCGACGAGUGGUAGGAGUCUUCUUUCCCCUCCUUCCCCUUUCCCUUCCCUUCCCGGGAGAGGCUGGGACCCGGCACCAGGGCAGUACUGUGGCCGCUGCGGCCUCAGCUCCGACUGGGUCAGGUUGCGGAGACUCCAGGCCGCUUCCAGGGCGAGUACUCCUGAUUGUGACAUCACAUUCAUCCCCUGGGCGAUGGAGCUUGUCACUGGGAAGGAAUACUCAGUCGGAGAAUAGCCAACAAGAUGGGUUACUGGGAGAAUCUCUUCAGUGGCACUGAGUGGAGGCAUCAGGGGGUUGGAGCCUUGUGAACAGGGAACCUGCCCCCCAACACUUGGAAGGACCUGGGUUUCAGUGAUGAGACAUGGGGUAUGAUGUAACCCGUUUCCAGGGGGAUGUUGACGAAGAUCUUAUCUGCCCUAUUUGCAGUGGAGUCUUGGAGGAGCCAGUACAGACCAGCUUUUGAUACAGCCAUGCACUCUGCAUUUUGAUGUGAAAGCUGCCACCUUCAAUAGGUCAUUUCUCUGCCAGCCUUGCCAGACCAGAGUCAGUUGUAUCAUCCUGGGGCAAGUAUGAGGAGAAGCUCACGAUUACCAGGCACCUCAUUGUGAACAUGCUUUCUGCAACGCCUGCAUCACCCAGUGGUUCUCUCAGCAACAGACAUGUCCAGUGGACCGUAGUGUUGUGACGGUCGCCCAUCUGCGCCCAGUACCUCGGAUCAUGCGGAACAUGUUGUCAAAGCUGCAGAUUGCCUGUGACAACGCUGUGUUCGGCUGUAGUGCCGUUGUCCGGCUUGACAACCUCAUGUCUCACCUCAGCGACUGUGAGCACAACCCGAAGCGGCCUGUGACCUGUGAACAGGGCUGUGGCCUGGAGAUGCCCAAAGAUGAGCUGCCCAACCAUAACUGCAUUAAGCACCUGCGCUCAGUGGUACAGCAGCAGCAGACACGCAUCGCAGAGCUGGAGAAGACGUCAGCUGAACACAAACACCAGCUGGCGGAGCAGAAGCGAGACAUCCAGCUGCUAAAGGCAUACAUGCGUGCAAUCCGCAGUGUCAACCCCAACCUUCAGAACCUGGAGGAGACAAUUGAAUACAACGAGAUCCUAGAGUAGCUUACAACCCAGAGAAGAGGAGGCAGAGUGCAAGUCCAGGAAAGUGAUCUCUAAAAUGCAGCAAAAACAAGCGAAGUAUACAAGUGAAGUCUAAGAUCUCUUUCAGUUCUGGAGUCCUAUACAGUUCAUAGAGUAAACUGUGGGUGAACUCCCUUCAGCCAGCAAGAGUGACCCGCUGGGGAGGGAUGAUCUCGACUCCUGAUGCUGUGCUCCAGGCUGUAAUCAAGCGCUCCCUGGUGGAGAGUGGCUGUCCUGCUUCUAUUGUCAACGAGCUGAUUGAAAAUGCCCACGAGCGUAGCUGGCCCCAGGGUCUGGCCACACUAGAGACUAGACAGAUGAACCGACGCUACUAUGAGAACUACGUGGCCAAGCGCAUCCCUGGCAAGCAGGCUGUUGUCGUGAUGGCCUGUGAGAACCAGCACAUGGGGGAUGACAUGGUGCAAGAGCCAGGCCUUGUCAUGAUAUUUGCGCAUGGCGUGGAAGAGAUAUAAGAGAACUCGACUGGCUAUCAGGAAGAGAUGGAAAUCAGAAAAUCCCAUCACUCCAGCAGCUGGGACCUGAGUCCUACCCACCAUUCUUAAUACUGUGGCUUAUACCUGAGCCACACAUCUCCCUGCCCUUCUGGCACUGAAGGGCCUUGGGGUAGUUUGCUCAGCCUUUCAGGUGGGAAACCCAGAUUUCCUCCCUUUGCCAUAUUCCCCUAAAAUGUCUAUAAAUUAUCAGUCUGGGUGGGAAAGCCCCCACCUCCAUCCAUUUUCCUGCUUAGGGUCCCUGGUUCCAGUUAUUUUCAGAAAGCACAAAGAGAUUCAAUUUCCCUGGAGGAUCAGGACAGAGGAAGGAAUCUCUAAUCGUCCCUCUCCUCCAAAACCAGGGAAUCAGAGCAGUCAGGCCUGUUGACUCUAAGCAGCAGACAUCCUGAAGAAAUGGUAAGGGUGGAGCCAAAUCUCUAGAAAUAAGUAGUGAGGCCGUUAAUUGGCCAUCACUGAUGGCCCUUAGGGAAAGACUGGACCUCUGUGCCAAGCAGUAUCCCUGUUCAGCCCACCUUAAAGGUGUAGGCACCCACUGGGUCUACCAGUAUGCAGGUUGGGAUACUGAAAAUUUCCAGAUGAGCUCUUCUUUCCUACAAGUUUUCAUAAUUAGGGAAUGCCAGGGUUUAGGGUAGGGGUUAAUCUGUUGGGGGUUGAUGUGUUUAGCAAGAAGCUACUCCUAGCUUUUGCUAAAAUAUGGUUGGCACUGCCUCUUGUGGCACAGGCCAUAAUUGUUCCAUAGACCCCUCUCUAGCCCUGUGACUGUAGUUAGUUACUUUGAUAAUUUUCUUUGGCCAUUGUUUGUUUAUAUUUCACAAACUCCACCUACUGCCCCCCCCCCUCUUUUUUUUAAGAAUGGCCUGAUCAUGGCUAUCUCAGCCACAUUGUUGGCAAUUUAAUUUAUUUACUUCCUUUUUUUUUUUUUAAGAAAGGAAAAAAGAAAAAAAAAUCAAACUUGAAACUUUUCUUUUGAUGUUCCUAUUGUGGGGGUUCUGGAUAGGGUGGGACAGGGAUGGGGGUGUGUUUUAUAUUUUUUCCUUUUCAGCACAACCUUUGGCUUUAAUAUAGGAAGAGCCAAGGGAGUCCUCGGCUGAACUUACGAUAUCUGCCCCAAACCUCUGUAACCCCAACUGAAAUGAGGAGCUUCCUCUCUUCCUGUGAAGGAUAUGACAGUCCAGCAUCGAUGCCUGUGCCCUCUGGAAAAAUUUCCUCCUAGCCCUUCCAGGGCCUUAUCAUAAAACUCUGGAUUUAGAGUAUUCAUUUUGAAGGCAACUCCCCCUUCCCCAAGUUUCCUUGGAGCUGUAUAGCUGGGUUCUAAGCUUCACCAUGCAAAUCAGAAAUUUUAUCUCUAAGUACAGGCUGUGCCGUGUCUCACCCACACCCCCCUGGGGACUUCAGUUCCAUUUCAGGUUACCUGGGGUAUACCUUGAUCCCUAGAGUGACUGGCAGAGUAAGAGAAGGGGAGAGAUAAUAGGUGUGAUUAUUUUAAUAUGGAGGUGGGAGUGUGGUUGGAGAUAGAAAGGCUCCUCCCCACCAUGUAAUGGCUUCCUCUCAGAAUUUUAUUCCAGGCUAGCUUGCUGCAGGUCUGGGUAGUUGGAUCAUGGCUCCACUGGGAUUGGGGUGGAAAGCUUGAGGGGAGUAGGGUUCCAGCUCUGGGACAUUGUGCUCAGGAAUUUGAAAACGCUGCUAUACUUACUCUGGUUACUACAUUUCUUCCACUCCCCUUUCCCCUACCUGCCUUAACCAAGGCUCAUACUGUCCUGUCCUUACCCUCAGAUGGAGCCAGGAAGCUCAGUGAAAGGCUUCCCUACCCUUUGCACUAGUGUCUCUGCAGGUUGCUGGUUGUGUUGUAUGUGCUGUUCCAUGGUGUUGACUGCACUAAUAAUAAACCUUUUACUCAACUCUCUAAAUUCUUCAGCAUUACUCCCUUUCUUGAGAAGGUUUCCCCUCUGCUUUUGCCUUUCUCUCACCUUAAUUCCCUUUCUUCCUUACUUUGUUACCUACCCUUAUCUUAGUGCUAACUUCUCUUUCAGGAGGAUGUCUGGGAGUAGUGUGCACUUCACAGCUGCUUUCCCAUGUACCCUCCUGCAUUCUUCCCUCCUAUCUCCUGUUCUGUAGCAGCCAAAGCUCUCUAGUGAUCUGAACUGUGUGCUUCCCAGGGUCUGCCUUUAUCCUAAAUUCCAUGUCUUCCCUGAGUGGUCCUGAGUUUUUGGGAUAAUUUCUACAGAAGAUAUGUAUAUAUCUUUUUCCUUUGUCCCACAAGCAACUUUGCUUUAGAAUCUAGAAUUCCUUUGCAGGCAGAGAAGUCUCUACCUCCCAGUGUUUCCUAGCUAAGAACGUAAAUGUGAGGAGGGAAAUGUACUUGCAGAGGUUUCAUAAUUAUUUACUUAUAAAAAUAGUCUUCAUAGCCGGGCGCGGUGGCUCACGCCUGUAAUCCCAGCACUUUGGGAGGCCGAGGUGGGUGGAUCACAAGGUCAGGAGUUCGAGACCAUCCUGGCUAACACAGUGAAACCCCGUCUCUACUAAAAAUACAAAAAAUUAGCCGGGCGUGGUGGCAGGCACCUGUAGUCCCAGCUACUUAGGAGGCUGAGGCAGGAGAAUGGCGUGAACCCGGGAGGCAGAGCUUGCAGUGAGCAGAGAUUGGGCCACUGCAUUCCAGCCUGGGCGACAGAGCAAGGCUCCGUCUAAAAAAAAAAAAAAAAAAAAAAGUCUUCAUAGGCCGGGCACGGUGGCUCACGUCUGUAAUCCCAGCACUUUGGGAGGCCAAGGUGGGUGGAUCACAACGUCAGGAGAUCGAGACCAUCCUGGCUAACAUGGUGAAACCCUGUCUCUACUAAAAAUAUAAAUAAAUUAGCCGGACAGGCGCCUGUCCUCCCAGCUACUCAGGAGGCUGAGGCAGGAGAAUGGUGUGAACCUGGGAGGCGGAGCUUGCAGUGAGCUGAGAUCACGCCACUGCACUCCAGCCUGGGCAACAGAGCAAGACUCCGUCUCAAAAAAAAAAAAAAAAAAACCAGUCUUCAUAAGUAUUUGCUGCUACCUUUCCCUGUCAUAAGAAAAAGGAUAGCCAGACAUGGUGGGACGCCACUAUGAUCCCAGCUCCUUGGAAGGCUAAGGCACAAGAAUCGCUUGAACCUGGGAGGUGGAGGUUGCAGUGAGCUGAGAUCAUGCCACUGCACUCCAGCCUGGUGACAGAGCAAGAGCCUGUCUCAAAAAAAAAAAAGAAAAGAAAAGAAAAAGGGAUAUCUUUUCCUCCUCCCAGAAGUUUGUUUUAAAUUUGAGCAUUUAUCAUGCACCUGAUGUAAACCUAAUAGUACUCUUGAUACUCUAGUGGCUUGAAAAAAAAAAAAAAGGCAUUUCUGUGCUGAGUCUGCGCUUCUAUGCACACAAGGUAUGUUUAUAAAAUACUGAUAAGCAUGUCACAGUAUAGAGCAUAAGAGGCAAUGUAUGUAUCCUAGUGACAUUAGCAGUGCUUUUCCCCCCUUAAACUCCUUUAAAAUUACUUUUAGAACUUGCUGCUCAUUCUUGUGAAUGUUAUGAAUGGUGUCAUAUUGUCCUUUUACAGAAGAUACGAUUUUUAGAAACAAAUAUUCAUUGAAUGUCUGCCCUGUGAGAUACUCACUAGAGUGAACAUGAGGAGGCUUAUGUAGCAAAAUGGCACCUACCUGCAAAGAACUUAGUCCCUAAUGGAGAUGAAUAUAUAAUAAGGGAUCAUAAAUGUGCUAAGUGGAUUUACUAGUAAUAUGUGAGCCAAGGACGAUAAAGCUCCUGAUUCUGAUGGGUAUCAGGAAAGGCUUUUCAGGAAGUGUUACUUGUUAUAGGUCAGAGGUCAGCAAACUACAGGUUACAACCCCACUGCCUGCUUUUGUAAAAAACUUUAUUGGAAUACAGUUAUGCCCACUUGUUUAUAUAUUGUCUGUGGCUGCUUUCACAUUACAACAGCAGGGUUAAGUAGCUGGAACAAAGCCUAAAAUACUUGGUCUUUUACAGAAAAAAAUUUGCCAACCUGUUCUAAACUUUUAAGGUCAGGAGAACUGGGGGAAGGAGGGAGUAGAAAGAACACUGUCACCCAGACUGGAGUGCAGUGGCACCAUCAUAUAGCUCACUGUAGCCUCAAACUCCUGGGCUCUAGUGGUCUUCCCACUUCAGCUUCUGGAGUAGCUGGGGCUACUGCACCUGGAAUUGUCUUAAUCUGUUUUAAUACUAGUAAAAUUUUUUUUGUUUCAUCUCUUUCA